CCAUUAUCGGGGGCAGGGUCUCCCAUAAUGU
rfam:Ophiophagus hannah scaffold4600.1, whole genome shotgun sequence.